AAUGAACGCUGGCGGCGUGCUUAACACAUGCAAGUCGAACGAGAAAGUUCCUGCUUGCAGGAACGAGUAGAGUGGCGCACGGGUGAGUAACACGUGGAUAAUCUACCUUCAAAUCGGGAAUAACCAUUCGAAAGGAUGGCUAAUGCCGGAUAAAGUCAAUUUUUCUUUGGGGAUUUUGAUGAAAGGGAGCCUCUGAUUUAAGCUUUUGUUUGAAGAUGAGUCCGCGCACCAUUAGUUUGUUGGUGGGGUAACGGCCUACCAAGACUGUGAUGGUUAGCUGGUCUGAGAGGAUGAUCAGCCACACUGGAACUGACACACGGUCCAG
rnacentral:rRNA from 1 species